ACCAUGACGAACCCACAGAUAAUGAGAGGAGGAGCGUGAUAGCGUACGAGAAGGGGUGCGUAAAGGAGAGGUAUAAGGAUCAUACAUAUGUGUUAGAUCAUCAGAACCGAUCGGUCUUGGCGUUGUCAAACCAUUCUGAUCAUAUAUCGACUUCGUGGGAGAUCCCAUGGAAAGCCUGCGAUUCCCUGAAAGAUGUAAGGACGGAGGCUUUCCAGAAGAAAGCGAUCUCUGGUUCCAUAUGGAGGUAACAGGUUCAGAGUUUGGACAAUUGUGAAGCUUCGUUUUAGCGACAAUGGGAAGAUCUUGCAGAGGGGAAAAUGUUUGAUUAACUUGUACUUUAUACAUAGCCAAUUCAAGACGUAAGCGUAAGUUUUUAGCACAACACUGAAUGUCGUCUAAGUGAUUAUUGUUGGUAUUGGUUUGUACUGGUGUCUUGGGUUCUAAAUGUGUUUCUUUUUCCUGUUUCUCUCCUAUCUCAGUAGAAGAUUCUUUUUCCUCUUCACUCUCCGUACUACUAACAGAUUUUAUUUUUAAGACUGGCUCUUCACAUGCAUUUUCAUCUGCAAUUUCUACUGCACGCACAUUUCGAGAUCGAACCGCAAUCGGUGAAAUCGUCCCUGGAGCCGCAUUCUCUUUUCCUAAUGGUCUCUGCAUCGGUGUUAUAGGAAAUAAAUGUUGCACAUUUUUUCCUUUUCCAUACUCAUACACUUCGUUUGUUGGCCUUUCCCCCAAAGUGUUUAAACGAGAUGGGGUCAAUGGUUCCAUUGACCUAUCCAUCUUGUUAUUUUUUCUAAACGGAAACCAAUAUAAAGAUUCCUAGUAGCAGAGAAUCAGAAGGAAAAGUAAUAAUCAGAGACAGUUUUUUUGCGACUCGUCGAUUGUUGCGUACUUGUG